AUGCUCGAGUGGCUCUUGCUCGGCCUUGGCCUCGGCUUCGGCAUUGCCCUCGGCCCGUUGAGCAAGAAGGCGGCGAUGGCAGCCCGGCUCCGCCAGAUGCUUGGGUGCGCUGCGCCAACCAGGAUAGCUCCUUGGCCGGACCUCCCGCCAGAGUUGUUGGGCCUUGUGCUCUUGCGCAUGCCGUCGCGCGCCGACCGCGUCCGCAUCUGCGCUGUUUGCCACUCGUGGCGCUCCGGCGCGCGGCUGCAGCCGCCGCCCCCGCUGCUCCCCUGGUUCGCCCUACGCGAGGGCAACUUCCUCAGCCUCCCCGACGGUGCAGUUCAUCGCAUGCCUCUCCCCGACUAUGACGACGUCCGCUACCGCGUGUCCACCGGCAGCCUGCUUUUCCUGGUGGACCACGACGGCAGGUGCUCCCUCGUGAGCCCUUCCUCUGGGAAGACAAUCCCUCUACAGAUCAACCCGGAUCUACUGGAGCUCAGGUCUCACGAGGACAUCCGCAAGGUGGUGGUGUCGGACGAUCUGCACACUGUUGUCGUUCUAACCACAAGCAAGACGAACUCCAAGAACGUCACCAUGUAUGCUCUUGGGCCGCAAGGGACCACGGCCAUGGAGUGGGCACCGCCCGUGAACAGCCUGGCCUUGGACAUUGCACUCUUCCAUGGGAAGCUCUACGUUCUCACCAGAGAACAUUCCGGUCUGCUUCCGGAGCUCCAUGUCCUGGAACCUAGAAACAUGGGCAUCAGGUCCGUCAAAUGCAUACAGAGAACGCAUAGAGACGAUGACGUAAAGCGCUUCUUCUUCUACCUUGUGGCGUCCGGAAACCGGCUGUUGAUGGUGGGACGGAUUGUCUAUCCGCAUCCCAUCGAUUCGCCCAUGCCAUCUCAGUGCUUCAAGGUCUUCCAGGCAGCUGACCUGAGUAGUGGCCACGGAUGGUGGAGCGAGGUCAAUACAUUGAUGGGGCAUGCUCUGUUCGUCAGCCAAGGCUGCUCUCGCUCACUUGCUGUUGGCAGUCAGUCUGUCAGUGGCGGAGCUCAAGAAGAUUGCGUCUAUUUUAUGGGCGAGCGGAGUGUGAUCAGUAAUAUUGAGGAGGACUUUCUGAAUUCCUGUGUGUACAACAUUAGAGACCAGACAGUGGGGCGGCUGCCGCUGGAGACACCUGCACCGUCAGGUCCUAGUUGGGGGAUUUGGUUGCCGACUUGGCUCUUUCCAGCUGAAGUUUGA
rnacentral:rRNA from 1 species